rnacentral:rRNA from 1 species
AUUAAAGUUGUUGCGGUUAAAAAGCUCGUAGUUGGAUUUUGGGGCUUGGCGUACGGUCCGGUGUAAAUCGCGCACUGUGCGCUGGGCUCUUCCGUUUGGUGGCGGAAGCGGUGCUUCACUGUGCCGCGGACGCUUCCAGACCUUCACUUUGAACAAAUUAGAGUGUUUAAAGCAGGCAGUCGCCUUGAAUACAUUAGCAUGGAAUGAACAUAUAGGACUUUGGUUCUAUUUUGUUGGUUUUAAGGACCAAAGUAAUGAUUAAUAGGGAUAGUUGGGGGCAUUAAUAUUUAAUUGUCAGAGGUGAAAUUCUUAGAUUUAUGAAAGAUUAACUUCUGCGAAAGCAUUUGCCAAGGAUGUUUUCAUUAAUCAAGAACGAAAGUUAGGGGAUCGAAGACGAUCAGAUACCGUCGUAGUCUUAACCAUAAACUAUGCCGACUAGGGAUUGGAAGAUGUUAUUUUCAUGACUCCUUCAGCACCUUAUGAGAAAUCAAAGUGUUUGGGUUCCGGGGGGAGUAUGGUCGCAAGGCUGAAACUUAAAGGAAUUGACGGAAGGGCACCACCAGGAGUGGAGCCUGCGGCUUAAUUUGACACAACACGGGAAAACUUACCAGGUCCAGACAUAGUAAGGAUUGACAGAUUGAGAGCUCUUUCUUGAUUCUAUGGGUGGUGGUGCAUGGCCGUUCUUAGUUGGUGGAGUGAUUUGUCUGCUUAAUUGCGAUAACGAACGAGACCUUAACCUGCUAAAUAGUUACGCGAACCUUCGUGUUCGUGGCCAACUUCUUAGAGGGACUUUUGCGUGUUUUAACCAAAGGAAGUUUGAGGCAAUAACAGGUCUGUGAUGCCCUUAGAUGUUCUGGGCCGCACGCGCGCUACACUGACUGGUUCAGCAAGUUUAUAACCUUGGCCGGAAGGUCUGGGUAAUCUUUGAAAGCCAGUCGUGAUGGGGAUAGUCCCUUGCAAUUAUGGGACUUGAACGAGGAAUUCCUAGUAAGUGCAAGUCAUCAGCUUGCGUUGAUUACGUCCCUGCCCUUUGUACACACCGCCCGUCGCUCCUACCGAUUGGAUGAUCCGGUGAGGUGUUCGGACUGCCCUUUAUCCGGGGUAACCUGGAUUUGGGUGCGGAAAGAUUCCCUAACCUUAUCAUCUAGAGGAAGGAGAAGUCGUAACAAGGUUUCCGUAGGUGAACCUGCGGAAG